rnacentral:lncRNA from 1 species
GCUUGUUUCUCAUGUUUUCUAUUUCCUCUGCAAAUAUUUGACAACUGAUGUGAUGUGGACUGCAGUUUAUUAAUGUGGAUAUAUUUUAAAUAACUCUAACCCUUAGCGCAAAGGCAUAUAGAUCGUACUACUUUGGUCUUAAUAUAGACAGAAGUGCAAAUAGUCUGCUAGGAUAAAAUAUUAUAAAUAAGCCAACUUUAGUGCAGAAUUAAAACUAAAUGAUCUCCGUGUGUUGUGCUGUUGUAAGUUCUUGUUCAACUUGUCCUUAUUAUCACUACAACAACCUUCUAGUUGCAUAACAGAUUACAUACUUUAUAAGAUAUUGGUUUGGUCGAAUAAUAAGCCGAAAUGAAGUAAUAUAAAAGAGCAUAUGCCGAAGUAAUUAAAGUUUGGAUACCUAUAAGACGUAUUUUAAGCUAGGAAGCACGGACUCGGAUACAAGGACAUAAGACACGGGGGUUCGCCAACUAUCAAAGACACCCGGAUACGGGACUCAGCACAAAAAAUUAAUAAUAGUAAUAAAAUAGGAUUCAUAUAUGUCAAAUUUCAUUCAUAAUAUAAUAUAAUGUCUUUACAAUAAGUGGUAAUCUAAUAUAAGAUUCAUUUGAUGCAUUUUCAUUCCUAGAAGAAUCUAUCUCAGAUAAUAUUCAAGACUUUGUCGUUCCAAGUUUGUUUAAUUGGUAUCAAACAUUUCUAAAUAUGAACCCUCUCUUUUUGUAUAAGUGUAGUCCUAAAGCAUUAUUUGCGGAUAAAAGAAAAGAAAAAGAUGUGGAGAUGAGAGAAAAGAGAGGCUGUAAAAGAGAUAUAGAGAACAGAGAUGAGAGAGGUGUAAUUUUAGGUUAAAAGAAGGUUAUUAGGCUUUAGCAAGUUAUUGGGCCAUUUUUAAGGUGGGCCGUGUCCAUGGCUACGUCACUCCCGUGUCAAAGGGGCGUCCCCCGUAUGCGUGUUGACACGCCACAUGGGUAGUCGGACCGACCUCAGCCGAUUCGCUGAGUAGGUUACGCAUACAACACCAAUUUUGAUUAUUCUUGGAUCUUAAGUAUGCUACACAUACACAUGACAUUAAUGCUUUGGUACUUAUGUCAAAUAUAAUGAAUGUAUAUCAUUUGUUGUGAUGUCAUGUUAAGGAUAAAAAUACGAGAUUCAACUUCUAAUGCAAAGCACACACACAAAAAUAUAUGAUGCUGAAAAUCCACGUCCCAACUUGUAUUAUUAAUUAAAACUAUUGUCAAUAAUACAAUCCACCAAACUUGGAUACUCAAGGCUCACAGCACUCAAGUAUCCGCCCUCGAGCGAUACCUAAAUCUACACCUUGAGCACGCCUAUCAAACACAAUAUGACUAUGUAUAUAUAGCCAUCUCAAACUUAUACAAAUCAUAAUCUAAUUCAGAAAUACCUAACUCGAGUUAGAAUCCAAUUCUGAAAUCUAACUCAAAUUUUCUAUGGAUCAAAGCAUUUUGUUGAUUGAGAAGAUAAAACAUCAUGGUAGAAGCCCUCUAAAUAAAUACUCUUCAAAGUGUUAUUAAAAUUUAAUAACCCUUCUAUCGUGAUAAUUAAUAUAUUUUGAACUAGAACGGAGGGAAAAUAAAGGGAAUUUCGAAGUUUGUCUGUAGAAAAAUUUCUUAGGUUGCACGAUAUAUUCACAUCAAAUCGUGUUUAUAGUAGAUACCCUGUAAAGUGAUCACCUCCAGGUCAUAACUUCCUUAUGUUAAAUUAGGAUAAACCCCUUAUGCUAUCUGUCUUCGAAAAAAUCGCAGUGCUACUGGUGGUCCCAUUUUAUUGAUGUUUAAUAACUUUUAAGUUAUCAAUUAUCUUCUGACCUAGUUGUAGUUGUGAAUUUUGUAGGUUGCAAAUUCCCUUUGUAUUUAUAAGAGGUGUUUAUAAACUUUGAAGAUGUACAAUUCAUGAUAAUUUUAUUGGAUGGAAGUGUUACAUGAGUAAAUCUUUUGGAAAUCCCACAAACUAUGGAUAUUGUAUGUAUUCAUUGGCUAAAACACAUAUUAAAUUAUUUCAGAGCAAAAUAAAUGUGAAUCCGUCUGUAAUGAUACUUUCGCUCAGUUUCCCGGACUCUUCGAUUUGGCUUGACUGGACAAGACAUGGGUGUGGGUACCGGAGACGACUUAAGUGCAAAAUGAUGAUAUAAAAUGCCUUAUAACAACUUGUUCGUAAAGAGCAAGGUCCAAUAUAUGACUCUUUUUUUUAUGUUAUCCUUGACUUUAUGACACAAAUAUGACGCAUGUAAUCACAUGCAUAACUUUAAUUGGUAGAAGACAUUAGUCAUACAUACCUUCUAAGAUGUAAAAUGGAUUAAAUGAACUAGUUAACUUUUGGGCACACAUGUUAAAGUGCUUUGACCAAGAAAAUUAAAUAAAUAAUUUACGGAGCUACAUGGUCAAUGCUCUUUAGAUUGUGUGCUGAAAUUCAACUGCCUCAUAUAAUUAGAUCUAAUUUGGGAUGGAGCUGUGGAGGGAGUAUUUUUGUAGGCCCUAAUAAUAUCAUUUUAGAGGGGCUUUAUUGUAUCCAUAAAUUUAAGGUCUUGUGACAUAUGAGUGUACAUCUUGAUGUUUGGAUUGAAGUGGAAUAAUAACAUGACAUGUUCUAUAAAGUUUUACUGAGCAUGUUUAUAUUUGCGUGGUGGGAUUCAAGGAAGUUAAGAUUUAAAUAGGAGUUCGUCAAGCUAAAUUAUUCGUAUAAAUAUUCUGUUUAAGAUUUUCAACGUGAGACUACUUCGAGUUACAACUUACAAUCUUUCCCUUUGUAAAGUUUAUGAUUUUUACUUUGAACUAAAGCAAUUGGUAAUGGGACUUCCAAAACUUUAGUGGACAAUGGGAGAGAAUAUGCCUAUAUAUAUAGAUGCACAGUAACGAGAGACCCAGAAACUUUUCUUUUAAAUUUGAGAUAAACGUGAACCUCCUUAUAUGGGAUCACGACAUAGUAUUGUGUAAGCAUUUAUUUUUGUGGUUUACAAAGCACAACAUUGUGCUAAAGUAUAAAAUAUUCCAAAAAAAAUUAUCUAGCUGACUCGUCUCUUAUGGUUGUGUCAUGCAAAAAAUUUGUCACUACUUUUGUCAUGUAACCUUUACCACGCAGGUUGAUUAAAAACCUUGAAGAGUGUUCUAUCCACCUAUCCAAGAUGUUGGAUCUGCUGAUUUUUGGCAACUUUUACAAAAUUAAUGCAGUAUUGUUAAAAUUGUGGUGCCAAGCCUCGAACAGUUCUUGGCAGUGUUUUUGACUGGGAUGUUGAAAUUGUGGCGCCAAGUUUCAAACAAGUCCCACCAACGGUUCAGAAAUACAAGUGUCAAGGUUAGAUAUGCUUAUAAUUUUCUUAGCUUUGAUUUAUUCACUUACGAUGGGGUUUGUCUGAAAUGGAAUUAGACAUUUUAGUUGUGAUAAAUUGGGUCAGCUUAGUCCCUCCUGCGUUGUAAUAAGCUAAAGUGUAAACAAGGCCUAAGUCAUAAAUCUCGUUGUUGUGGUAUCUAGGUGCUUAACAAAAUGACUUUAGGUUGUGUAUUAUUGAAGGCUAUAGACAAGAUAAAGACGUCUCGUGGUACUACUUUGAAGUGUUCUUGCGAAUUUCUAUCUGAAACACGUUUUUUAGACUACCUUAUCUUUUGUUAAGGAUAAAAAUACGAGAUUCAACUUCUAAUGCAAAGCACACACACAAAAAUAUAUGAUGCUGAAAAUCCACGUCCCAACUUGUAUUAUUAAUUAAAACUAUUGUCAAUAAUACAAUCCACCAAACUUGGAUACUCAAGGCUCACAGCACUCAAGUAUCCGCCCUCGAGCGAUACCUAAAUCUACACCUUGAGCACGCCUAUCAAACACAAUAUGACUAUGUAUAUAUAGCCAUCUCAAACUUAUACAAAUCAUAAUCUAAUUCAGAAAUACCUAACUCGAGUUAGAAUCCAAUUCUGAAAUCUAACUCAAAUUUUCUAUGGAUCAAAGCAUUUUGUUGAUUGAGAAGAUAAAACAUCAUGGUAGAAGCCCUCUAAAUAAAUACUCUUCAAAGUGUUAUUAAAAUUUAAUAACCCUUCUAUCGUGAUAAUUAAUAUAUUUUGAACUAGAACGGAGGGAAAAUAAAGGGAAUUUCGAAGUUUGUCUGUAGAAAAAUUUCUUAGGUUGCACGAUAUAUUCACAUCAAAUCGUGUUUAUAGUAGAUACCCUGUAAAGUGAUCACCUCCAGGUCAUAACUUCCUUAUGUUAAAUUAGGAUAAACCCCUUAUGCUAUCUGUCUUCGAAAAAAUCGCAGUGCUACUGGUGGUCCCAUUUUAUUGAUGUUUAAUAACUUUUAAGUUAUCAAUUAUCUUCUGACCUAGUUGUAGUUGUGAAUUUUGUAGGUUGCAAAUUCCCUUUGUAUUUAUAAGAGGUGUUUAUAAACUUUGAAGAUGUACAAUUCAUGAUAAUUUUAUUGGAUGGAAGUGUUACAUGAGUAAAUCUUUUGGAAAUCCCACAAACUAUGGAUAUUGUAUGUAUUCAUUGGCUAAAACACAUAUUAAAUUAUUUCAGAGCAAAAUAAAUGUGAAUCCGUCUGUAAUGAUACUUUCGCUCAGUUUCCCGGACUCUUCGAUUUGGCUUGACUGGACAAGACAUGGGUGUGGGUACCGGAGACGACUUAAGUGCAAAAUGAUGAUAUAAAAUGCCUUAUAACAACUUGUUCGUAAAGAGCAAGGUCCAAUAUAUGACUCUUUUUUUUAUGUUAUCCUUGACUUUAUGACACAAAUAUGACGCAUGUAAUCACAUGCAUAACUUUAAUUGGUAGAAGACAUUAGUCAUACAUACCUUCUAAGAUGUAAAAUGGAUUAAAUGAACUAGUUAACUUUUGGGCACACAUGUUAAAGUGCUUUGACCAAGAAAAUUAAAUAAAUAAUUUACGGAGCUACAUGGUCAAUGCUCUUUAGAUUGUGUGCUGAAAUUCAACUGCCUCAUAUAAUUAGAUCUAAUUUGGGAUGGAGCUGUGGAGGGAGUAUUUUUGUAGGCCCUAAUAAUAUCAUUUUAGAGGGGCUUUAUUGUAUCCAUAAAUUUAAGGUCUUGUGACAUAUGAGUGUACAUCUUGAUGUUUGGAUUGAAGUGGAAUAAUAACAUGACAUGUUCUAUAAAGUUUUACUGAGCAUGUUUUAUAUUUGCGUGGGUGGGAUUCAAGGAAGUUAAGAUGUAAAUAGGAGUUCGUCAAGCUAAAAUAUUCUGUUUAAGAUUUUCAACGUGAGACUACUUCGAGUUACAACUUACAAUCUUUCCCUUUGUAAAGUUUAUGAUUUUUACUUUGAACUAAAGCAAUUGGUAAUGGGACUUCCAAAACUUUAGUGGACAAUGGGAGAGAAUAUGCCUAUAUAUAUAGAUGCACAGUAACGAGAGACCCAGAAACUUUUCUUUUAAAUUUGAGAUAAACGUGAACCUCCUUAUAUGGGAUCACGACAUAGUAUUGUGUAAGCAUUUAUUUUUGUGGUUUACAAAGCACAACAUUGUGCUAAAGUAUAAAAUAUUCCAAAAAAAAUUAUCUAGCUGACUCGUCUCUUAUGGUUGUGUCAUGCAAAAAAUUUGUCACUACUUUUGUCAUGUAACCUUUACCACGCAGGUUGAUUAAAAACCUUGAAGAGUGUUCUAUCCACCUAUCCAAGAUGUUGGAUCUGCUGAUUUUUGGCAACUUUUACAAAAUUAAUGCAGUAUUGUUAAAAUUGUGGUGCCAAGCCUCGAACAGUUCUUGGCAGUGUUUUUGACUGGGAUGUUGAAAUUGUGGCGCCAAGUUUCAAACAAGUCCCACCAACGGUUCAGAAAUACAAGUGUCAAGGUUAGAUAUGCUUAUAAUUUUCUUAGCUUUGAUUUAUUUACUUAUGAUGGGGUUUGUCUGAAAUGGAAUUAGACAUUUUAGUGGUGAUUAAUUGGGUCAGCUUAGUCCCUCCUGCGUUGUAAUAAGCUAAAGUGUAAACAAGGCCUAAGUCAUAAAUCUCGUUGUCGUAUCUAGGUGCUUAACAAAAUGACUUUAGGUUGUGUAUUAUUGAAGGCUAUAGACAAGAUAAAGACGUCUCGUGGUACUACUUUGAAGUGUUCUUGCGAAUUUCUAUCUGAAACACGUUUUUUAGACUACCUUAUCUUUUUUCUUAGCAGCCUUUUCUGAUUGACAUUCUUAGCUUCUGUUUCGAAUUGGAGGUCCUCGAAGGAUUUGGUUUUAUUUAUUCUGCCCCCCUUGAUACAAUGUUAAAUCUUCAAAUUUCCAUUAGUGUUCUGAAUCCGAGAAACAAUGGUAGUAACUUAUGUUUUAUUGUGAUGAUCAUGAUUAAUGACCAAGUUAAAAUUUUUAGGAGAGAACAAACUAGUAUUCUGUUUAUCCAUUUCGUAAAAAUAGUACUAAAUCUGAUUGUGUCAAUUGAACUUGUUUUGCCUUCUUGACGAUUAAGUAAAAGUUUCAAAACUAAAGCCACAUCAAUAUAGUAUCAAAAUUCAAAAGUAUAUUGGAUAUUGGCGGUUUAUUUUAUCUUUGCUAUACAGGUUUUGAUAUAAGGCUUGAAUAUUUUAAUUAAGGAUUGGCAAUUCCCUUUAAUAUUAAUACCUAUAUAAUUUUAUACAAUAUCAGGGAUACAUUCUGUAAAGCAUAUUGAAAAAGGAACUGUGCAAGGCCACUGAACAAAAGUAAUGUUUUCAGGGACUUCACUUGGAUACAUUGUAAUUUUAUGUUAUUCACUCUCAGGCGACAGAGUCAAUUCCGAAUAAGGUACUCUUUAGCGAUAUGUUUACGUUAUAUAGCUCAUAUUACAUUACUUCUAAUCUUUUGUGAAAGGAUAUCUGGUAAUUCUAUAUUUGAGAAGUUGAUUAGACUAAAGCUAUAUCGUCAAUUAAUAUAGUCUGCCACCUACAUGUCAGUCAAAUUAUGUAAUUGUUGGUAUGCCCAAGGCAAUGUGUUCUCUUAAUUAAUAUUACUAAUAUAAUGUUAGAGAAGAAGUCAAUUUAACUACAUUUUUCUUAAUAUUACUAAGAAAAUGUAUGGGACUAACCUGUUGUGAGCUAUAAUAUAUAACUUUACAUUGUGUCAUGAGAAAUUUUCGUGAGAAUGGCGUAAUGACUCUCUGACAUUAAAAUCAUUAUCUCUCUAGAAGAUAUGGAUGUUGUUAUUUGAUUUUAUCAAUUUAACUUUAAUCGAGUUGAUGACAAAGUUGGUUGAGGGAAAUUUUAUAAUUUGGAAAAGGAGAAGUAAGGUUGCCGAAGAAGGAGAAGCAAGCUGGGAAAGAGGAAGAUCGGGAUUGGGCAGCGGCGGGGGUUGGGGGCGAUGGUAGGGUGGGUGCGAGGGCGGGCGGGCUGGUACGUGGUGUACACGAAACGUGAAAGUACACGACACAACACGAUUGACAGGUCUAAUUUAUACUCCCUUGGUGGCACUAAUCUUGUUCAUCAAUCAAAUUCCAUGUUUUAUUCAAUCAUCUUAAAUACACUAAUAGUUACCAAAGAUUAUAUUGUUUGUAAUUAACUUGACAUAAUUAGCCCUCAACCUUCUUGUAUAAACCGAAUUUGGGGAACAAUUUUCGGACAUACAAAAUUGGAAUUGUGGCCAAUAUAAAUGGGAGGCAAUAAAAUAUCCUAACGAGUCAUUUUUUGUUAUAAUUAAAACACAUUAAUACAUUCUCAUUAGAACGAACAUGUCUAGGUUAUUCAGUUAUUAGUCUUUUGAUAGGCUUAACUUUCAGGAACUUAUUUAACACGUUUAAUAAAAAUACUUAUUUAACCUACCCGAUAAAAUACUUAUUUAAUCUUAACGAACAUUUAUUAAUUAUUUAAAAGUCUAUUUUAAGUAAAAACACAUACUUUCUGACAUAAAUGUAUCUUCAAAAUAAAAUUGGAUAUUAAAACAUAUUAUAUCCUUAAAUAUGUAAUAAGCGUGAGGAGGAUAAUUUGGUUGUUUAGUGAGUACCAUGAGAAGGAUAAUUUGGUUGUUUAAUGAGGAGGAUGGACCUAGAUGGGUUGGGUUGAGAGUUUGGCCUAGUAGGGGUGGAACUGGGGAGGGCCUAGUUUUGGCUCUUUAAGAUUGUCUGGAGCCUGUCCAGGACUUGUAAGGAGCCUUGGAGAGGCCCUAGAGGGCCCGGGGUGGAUUGAGUGGGGGUGAGGGUCGGCCCUAGGUGGGUGAUGACAUAUAGGGGGUGGGUGAUGACAUAUAAGGGGUGGGUGAGUUCAUUUAGGUAUAGUUUCUCUUGAUUUCCAUUUUAGUUUUUAUUUUAGUGGUUUCUAUUUGAGCAAUUGCCUAUAUAUAUAUAUAUAAUAUAAAUAAUUCAACACUUAAAAUAUGAACAAAAAAGUUAAUUUCCAAAACAAGUUCUAAAAUAAAAUACUUUCUGGAUGAUUAUUAUUCUGCUGUAGAAUCAUGCUGGAAUAUUGCAUAAUUUUCAACGAGUUCUAGAAUAAAAAAAUUAAAUAAUUUUGUUUUCAAUCUACUAAUUAAGAUUUGUAAUUAUAUUUCACAAAAAUAUAACAAAUAUAUGCAUAUAUAUGUAUGUAUACAUACACACACAAUUGCUCAAAUACAAACCAUUAAAAAAUAAAGGGAAAUUCUCUAUGGUACAUUUGUGUAAUUGGCUUUUCCCGUUGGUACAACUACAUUUUUGACUUCUACGCAUGAUACCCUCAUGGUAUAAAAACUUUCUCAACGAUACCCUUCCAUUAGGCUAAACAUUAGUCGGUCGUUAAUUUUGACGGAAUUCCAAUUAUCAGAUAAUUUUUAUAAUGCAAUAAAUUGAUACCCACUCCACCGGAAAAUCCCGCCUCAAAACAGUCAAUCUCUUUCUCUAAGCUUCCUUUCUACUUAUACUGGGCAACAACCAUUAUUGUGAUUUCGAUCAGCCAUCUCAUAACGGCGGUGUUGUGGUUAAGCCGUCGGCCGCCCUUUCUCUCUCAACUCGUCGUACCAUCUUCCAUCGCUAUUCCCUCUUUCACGAAUCCCCCAAUACCACCUGUAACCCAACCCCUACUUCCCUCCUGUAAUACUAACGCUGUCGCCUCCGAUCUCCAGUUUCGGCGACACGACCCAUCACACGUUAUACUCUCACUCCCUCUUCUCUUGUGGCUUCGAUCCCGACCAGACAACGCUACAUCGCCGCCAAUCAUCGUUGUGACUCCAUCAGAACACACACGCACCACACAAACACAACCCCAACACACACAUACAAACAUCAAUUUGAGGAAUCAAUUAAACAAAAUUCAAACAAUCAAUUAAGAAACCGCAAGAGUACCAUUUCGUUAAAAGAACAAGCUUGCAUAAGGAUACAUAAAUGUAUAAUUUAAUAUAAUUUAAAUAUUCAUUAAAUAUUUAGUUUUAUACUUGUAAUCAGCCUGUUUACUUAAACUUAACGUUUUGUUAACGUUUUAUUAACAGAAGUGUAUAGGUGGGAGUGAAACAUUAUUNAAUCAGCCUGUUUACUUAAACUUAACGUUUUGUUAACGUUUUAUUAACAGAAGUGUAUAGGUGGGAGUGAAACAUUAUUAUGAAGGUAUCAUGCGUAGAAGUCAGAAAUGUAGUUGUACCAACGGGAAAAGCCAAUUACACGAGUGUACCAUAGAGAAUUUCCCAAAAAUAAACUAAGAGAAACCACCCCUAAACACACCCACCCACUAUAUGUUAUCACCAACCUAGGACUUGCCCCACUCACUCUAUCCGGGCUCACUAGAGCCUUGCCAAGACUCCGGACAGGCUCUACACAGCCCUAAGAGCCAAAACUAGGCCCUCCCCAGUUCCACCCCUACUAGGCCAAACUCUCAACCCAACCCAUCUAGGCCCAUCCUCCUCAUUUUAUAUGUAUUCUAUAAUAGAAUAUAUAAUAAAAUUAAUGAUUUAUAAUGACAUAUAUAAUAAGAUUGGGGUUUCGGAGCCUCCAUCUUGCCAUUGUAUGCACUAUACUAGUUGCUUACAAAAGUGAGGCGAAGGAAAGAGAGAAAGCAACGACCAAGCAUUUGGGAUUCAUAGGAACUUUUUUUUAUGUUCUUCAUCGCCGAUCGUCACUUGUAUCAGCCGGUAAGACUCUGAGCAUUUAAUCAAUUGUUUUCAGAUAGAUCUUCGGUUAGGGUUUCAAAAUUUCGGGUUUAACAUAUGUUUCCUCUUUAUGUGACCGAAAGCCAACACUAAUUUCCGAGAUUUAGGGUAUUACAGAGCCAUCAAAUCUUUGCUUUCAUGAUAAUCUUAUAUAAAUUGUUUUUUAUAUUUUAAUUCCCUGAUUGGUUUGUUUCCCCUUUUGGUUGAGAAUCACUCACUUCCUUGUCUAUAGUAAUAAAUGUUUUUCUUGUUUAAAGAGCUUCCCUAUCUUGUUAAUUAGCAUUUAAUAUAUAGUUGUUAAUCAACAUAUAAUAUAUAGUUCAAGAUCCCUGCCCCUUUAUAGCAGAGGUGGAGUUUCACGAGAAUUUGACGCUCAAUUUUUAUCUUUGUAAUAGUUGGAUAAGUGACCAGAGAAAGAUCACCAAAGUGAGACCGGAGAGAGAGAGAGAAAAAGACGAACAAGCGUUCUUGAGCUGGAUACGUUGGGAUUCGAGCUUUUUUCUGUUUCUGCGUCACUUUUCUUCACUUCAUUAGCUGGUAAGACUCCGAGCAUUUAAUUAAUAGUAUUUACAUAAAUCUUUGGUUAAGGUUUCAGAAAUUUGGUUUUAACAUAUGUUUUUUUAUAUGUGAUCAAAAGCCAACACUAAUUGGGGAGCUUUAGGCAUUCUAGAGCCAUCAAAUUAAAUCUUUUCAUGAUUAUCCUUUAUAAUUUGUUUUUUUUAUAUUUUUAUUCGUUGGUUUCUUUCUCCCCUUGGUUGAGAAUCACUAAGUUCCGUAUUUUUAUUAAUAAAUUAGUUUUUGUCUUUAAGAGAUUUCAUAUCUACUUAAUCAACAUCUAGUAUGUGGUUCAACAUCCCUCCCGCUUGUAGCAAAAAUGGAGUUUGAUGUGAAUUUUAAAUUCUAGUUUUUUUGUCUUUUUAAUAGUUGUAUGAUCGUUCAUAUUCUCAAUCAUGUAAACAUGUAAUUGUUCAUGUUUUUUUUUAAUAUUUGUGCAUAAAGUACAUUUCAUUAUUCUUCUCUUGGUUAAACAUCAUAGGGCCGCAAUUGGGAGAAACCCACAACCCAUAUAAAAGAGACAAACCUAGCUAACUGAGCUACUCCGUGGAAACAUCUUUGAGUGCAUCUUUUGACAAAUGUAUUCGCAUGUCCGUGAUUUAUCUGAGUAGGAACUUGUCUAUGUGAGUUGGACCAGGUCACUUAAUUUAUUUUUCUUUUUUCGAAUUCUAGUAGUUAAUAAGUAUUUAAUCAAUAAUUAAAAAGUACUAGGUAGUAUUUGCUUGGUACUCUUAAAAUCCAACAAAUUUUAAAGAAUUGUGCGAUAUGAUAGAUUGUUGAGGAAUUUAAUUGGUUUUUGUGUAUAUAACAUAUCCAUGUUGAAAUCCUGAAAUCCCACUAGGGCUUCCAUGGAUUUAGGUAAUGGUUUUAACAUUUUUAUGUAUGUACAUAUUUAUAUCAUGUUACUUAUUUACAUUGUUACAUUAUUUUUGUAUAUAGUAUAUAUUUAUUUAUUUUGUGCCCGGGAUAGCUUGAGCAUGCUUCUUGACUGAUCUCAAAGGAUGACUAGCAUAGCGUUUGGGUAACUCCAUCCAAAUUUAUGCACCUACCAGUACCUACACAAUCUCACGUUCGCAUUUAUCACUUUAGCCCAAGGUGGGUUAUAUAUAUCACUUGUGUCAUAUAUGUUAUCUUUUCAUGCUCAACAUGUGCAAUUAUACAUCUUUUUUAACUUCAUAUUUUUUUAGAAUUUUAUAUCUUUUUCUUGUCGAGUAAAAUUUCAUAUCUUUAUUUAUGUAUACAUAUAUAAACAUAUUGUGGUGUAGUAAUAUAAUAUGAAGAAUAACAUUACAAAAUCAUAUUAAAAUCGUUACUUAUCUUCAUGUGGUUGAUUUUAAGUAGUGAAAAUAGUUUGGUUUUUAUUUUUAUUGUGAUAUCUUGUUCUAAACAUAUAUAUGGGUCACGAAUUUUAAUUAGAAUAAUUAAAUGUGUUUUAAUUGGAUAUUUAAAAAUAGUCAGGCCCGUUGACGUUUUUGAAUUUAACACCUCUUCAUGUGUUUUAAUCGGAUAUUUAAAAAUAGUCAGGCCCGUUAAAGUUUUUGAAUUUAAUAAGCUUGGACCGGCCCAAAUACCGAUCGACUGUCCUACCAUGACUUUUGAUGUUUCUAUUUUAAUAGUAUUGUAUUGUGUUGAUAUUACUUUUAUUGUAUAAUAUAUCAUUUGGUUUUGCAUAAUGAUAAAAGGUAUCAUAUCAAAUCUAAUUUUAAAAUUAAUACAUGGAAGCCUAUUAGUUAUAUUUGAUUAGGGUCUGAAAUUCAUUUGAGACGCCCUGAUACCAAGUUAGGGCUGAGCUUGGUUUGGCCCGUUUUGAAGGGCCGAACCAAAACAAAGUUUUCCGUUUCUAUUGUAACAGCUUAAGGGCCAAAUCUUGUUUAAGUUAAAUGGUCAUAGAAAUUAGAUAUACAAAUAUUAUAUAACUUAAGUAAUAAGUAAUUCCCUCUUCUAAAGCUCUUAGAUUUUUUUAUUUUUGAUAAUUAGAUAGUAGUUGCAGAAGUUGCCAAACCAUCUGUGACCUGUGCAUGUCUCUAGCAGCGCACGUAAUCUUCAACACAAGUAAUCAAAGCAGCCACUGUUUGUGUUUGGAUAUCAGAUGUCUUUAUUGUGGUGGUGAAUCACGAUAGAUGUUUACCAUCUGGUAAAGCGAUGUAAGAGCAAAGUUUUGAAACAACUGAACCAUCCUUCUACUAAAAAGAUCACUUAUCUUUAAGACUUUAACUAGCCCUCCUAAAGCCCAGAUAGAUCUUUGUUGAUUAUUUUGAUUAUUGUUUAGCAGUUGCAGAGCAUUGGGUGCCCCACUUAUAUAUGCACUAUGCACACAUAAUCUUAAUAUAGAUAUUCAUUAGUUAAUAGUAUCUGAAUAUGUGAUGUUCGUUGUGGUAAUGGAUUACAUUAGAUGUUUUGCAUAGGGUAAAUGGUGUAAGAGAAAUGUUGCAAAGCAACUAAACGAACGUGUAUUCGAAUUUUGAAUUGGCUUUAAACCAUAUUUCACCCUAUAUGUGGUUUAUUGAGAAGGUAACUUUUUGUUCCUUACUGAAUAAUAUGGUCCAAGUGAAGUGGGAUAUGGGUAAAACAUUAGGUGAAGAGAUGUAACAUACAGUAUUGAAUAAUUAAUUUAAGUAUUAGGCCUUAGGUGACCAGAUAAAUCUUUUUAGAGGAAAGGGAUUGCUACUGGAUUGCAGCAAGUUCACAGUUACUUGAUUUUAACAGAUUAUUUUUCCAUCAUCACCAGAAAUUAUGAAUCAAAAUGAAGCUCUCGCUGCUGAGGACAACAUCGAAGCAGUUUUGGAGAAUGUGAGGAAUAUGACCUCACAGGAGGCUGAUGCAGCUGUGCACAAAGCACUUGAAAAGUGCUGUGUGGCAGUGCGGGCGGCAGAGAACGCAAGUAACAUGGCAAAAAUGGCUGUAAGUCAUUACCAAGCCUUGAUGGAGUCUCUCAGAAACAAUACAAUGACUGGUAAAAUGUCAUUUAAUUAUACUUCUUAUGCUAAUUUAUCAUGUUUUCUCUUGGUCCUGAAAAUGGCUUGACAAAUGUUACAUGACUGCAGUUUAUUAACUUUAUGGAACCAAUAACAGAAUAAACCUUGUUAAGGAAGAGACCUCAAACUGGAUGUUAUGUAGUGUAUCACUUUCUUGAUGUUUAUGUAGGUUUCCAAGUUUUUGAACAGAAAAUUAAAAUGCAAUAAAUAUGAAUUCUUAAUUGUUUAAAUAUUUGUAUAUAAGGUAAUCAUUUUUGAUUUUAUACGUGUGCAAAAUGUUAACUUUUGAUAAAUAAAUAUCAAGUUAAAGAUGCAGAUUGCUAGAAAGAACCUUUUCACGAAAGGCAACUCUAGUACAGAGUCAGACAUGGCCUUUUUUCUGGGAUAUAGUUAAUUUUUGUUUAGAGCAUAGUUGCUAGCAGGGUCCUGGAAUGAGAACAACCCUUUAGCCACGAGAUAAUAUUAUUAUUGAAAUAUUUCUACCGCGGUAUAUGAAUGAUUUUCCUUUAUUAUCUUGUUGAAAGUUGCUUCCUGCACUUGUUCUAGCUUUGAACAUUAUAAGCUUCCUCAUUUUACAUGAAAAAUUGAAGCAGAGUCAGAGAACAUGUACAGUCAUCAAACUUUGUUGGAAGCUGCUGACGAAGCAACUGCAAAGUGUGAUGCUGCAGCGCAGGUGCUACAAGCUUCAUUACCUGUGGCAGUCGAUGCAAAAAGGCUUGUUGAAGCCAUAGAUAAGGCUCGUGGAAAACGUCCGAUGACUGGUAAAUCAUCAUUCCAUUGUUAUACUUAGGCUUGUUUCCUCAUUUUUCUGUUACCUAUGAAAGUUAUUGGCAAUAAAAAGUUAUCUUUUAAAAGGUUUUUUAUAUGAUUUUGAAAAUAAUACUAUAGAAAUUUCAUUGCUUAAUAUUCAAAUACUAAGUUAAAAUAUCCACAACUUCUUUACAAAUCAACUUUGUUGAUAUAUUCUAUUUAAAUAGUACCUCUUAUUUAUGUGGAUAAAAGUGCAAAUACACAGUCUGCUAUGAAGAACCUGUUUUAAUUAGGCAACCUUAGUGGUUACUGAAAGCUUAGCAAUUUCACUGUGUUGUGCUUUGGAAAAUUGCUCCCUCCACUCGCCCUUACUUUCUCCUCAAUAACCUCCCUCAUUUUACAUGAUAAAUUGCAAAUUUUAUGUACGUUACAUCAAGUUUCGGCCGAUUAUAAGCUGACAUGCAGCAAGAUAAAAGAGCUUGUCCCUUACUGGAUAAGGUAGGACGCACAAAAGAUGUCUCGAGUAUGCAACCGAUACAGUUGACAUCAAUGCAUUGGUAAAGUCAAACUACAAUGUGUAUAUAUCCCGUGUCAUGAUGCCAUGUGUCAAUUGGAACAUCUUCUGUGAGUCCCCUAUCACGAGAUUCUAUGUGUAGCAUACAAGUUUUAUAUAUCUUAGCAGAGGAAUUUCCCCUGAUGUACCAUUGGAAACUUUAACAAAAUCCAUAUGUAAAGGUAAUCUUACUGCCCAACGAUGCCAACCUCAAAUGAUAACUCGAUUUGUAUAGAGGCUAGUUAACUAUUAGAAGCCCUAUCAUUUUCUUCAGAUCUCUAAUUUGAAGUACAUUAGUUAUAAUGCUCUAGCUCAACAUUUUAUUCUUAUGUAGUAUCUCUCCUAAAACUUGCAUAUCUAGCUUGCAUAUUCUAAAAUCAUAAUUUUUUUUGGACCGUGGCUGCAGACUUGCUGUCAUAUACUCCCUCCGUGCCUCUAAGUAGUUUAUGUUCACUAUUUGCACGUAUUUUGAGGCUCCUAUAAAGUAUAGCACCAUAACAUUUUUUUUAAAUUUUCUUUUUUUGAAUAAAAGUUUAAACAUCAAACUUUUAUUCAGGGAAAAAUAAUUAAAAAAUAUAUUAUGGAAUUAUAUUUUAAAUGAGUCUUAAAAAACAUGCUAAAAAGUAAUGUAAAGAAUUGAGAGAGGCAGAGGGAGUAUAUAUAUAUAUAUAUAUAGAUGCCCUAGAAGUUCCUGAAAAUCUAGUUUAAUGCAAGCAUUUCUUGCAUGAAAACUAAUUAAAUUUUGUACUUGUCGUUAAUUCUUAUUGCCAUUCUCACUAAUUGGAUUCUAAACCAUGCAGACUGUGAGAGCGGAGGUGCUUCAUCAUCAUAUGGAGGUGCUUCAUCAUCAUAUUGACGGCAUGGACUUUACAAAGCAUCUGCUUUUGUUCUCAUCAUCAUAAGCGUGCCUGUGGCUGUGCCAUGUUCUUAAGAUAUAUGAAUCAGUGACCUGACAUUUGAAGAAUAUAUUUCAGUUUUCUGACCUUUGAGCGUGAAAGAACUGUUAUGCACAUUUUGUCUGGAUGAAUGGGUCAGGUCUAUGUUUAUUUGCGUGUUCAACAUGCAAUUCCUCAGUGUGAGUUUUAGUAAAUUUUUUUAAAAUUAAUGUUUGCUUCUCCUAUAUUUGAGCUGCAUGCUAGUCUGUUCGACAUUAUUUCUUCUCGUCUUGCAAGUCCUGAAAAUAGCAAAAAUAAGUUCAAACAAAUUUCUAAUUUAUUUGUUUAGUAACAACGGACAUGACCAUAACUAGUCACGAACAUAAUAGUAUCAUCUAGGCGAACUAUGCCCUCAUAUAUGCUAUUAUUUAGGUAGAGAACACCGUAGAUGAACAUUGUCAGCUUUUCAUCUCAAAUGGAAAUGUGAUCUUAUUCUGUCAUAUUGGGUCUGACCUCAAAUAAUUUAUAAUAAGUGAUAAUCUUGUACACUUUCAUAAUGUCAAAAGCAUGACACGCAAUUUUUGCUCUGAGAAGAGUAGCGGCCAAAUAUUCAAUUAUUCAUGUUCAUAUCAAGUCAUAUUGAGGAUAACAUGAUUUAUCGUUAAUAUCAUCAUAUGGAGGAUAACUUAUCGGUUUCGGAUAUAUAGAUGAGAUCAGAGUGACACUCCAAAACCCUUAUCAAUAUAUUGAAUCGGUGUUAACCUACUAAUAAAACUUCAUCUUAUUUAUUUAAUAAUAUAAAAUACUAAUGAUAUAUUAUUAUCCUCAAAUUUUAACUAAUAUUAUUAGAACAUUUGGUGUUGGUUAAGAGAUUUUGUAAAUUUAUUUUCGUCCAUAAGAGAUUGUGAUCCACUAACACUCAUUAUAAUGAUUGACUAUAUUUUAAAAUUAGUAUAUUAUUAUUAUUAAUAUUUAAGUUGAGUUUAAUAAAAUAUAUUAUUUAAAUACAAUCGGGGAUAAUAUGACAUUUCACAACAGAUAUGGCUAUACCAUUUUAUUAUAUUUCAUAUUAACUUCUAUUUAUAAAUAAGCGAUAAUGAAAAUUUGAUACUGACAAAUUAUGACUUCCAUUACUAUCCUACUGAAGAAUGUUAAGAAAAUCUUUAUUGCUAAAUUAAUGAACGAAGAGUAUUUUCAAUCCCAUGAAAUUAUGUCUUUUCUGUAUAAAGGCUCCCUGAAAUUCUGAUAUGAGAUGGUCCAUGUGGAUUUCAAGUCUUUUGGCCAGGACUUUGGUUAGAAACUUCAUCUAAGCAUUCAUUAGACUUAUUGGUCUAAAAUGAGCCUGUGUCUUCGGAUACUAACAUUUUGAAAUAAGACCUGUAAAAGACGAGUUUGUACCAUAUGACAAGUACCCCGAGUCAUGGAAGGCUUUGAAAAAAGAUAAGCAGACCACUUUUGCUGAAUUCCAUAGACAUUUGAGUACACUAACAUUCAUGCUGUUAGGUCUCGGCACCUUGUUGCCAUCCAUAUUGUCCAAUGCUUCUUUUAUCUCUUUUAGCAUAAUUUCAUCUACUAUGGAUUUGUUAUUAGAUUCAUCUAAUGUGUUGUGUUGAGAAGAUCCUUUCCAACAUGAAAUAUUUUCCUCCUCUUGCUAUCUGUUAAGAGACCUUUAAGAUGAACUAGAAGAGUUUCCUCUCUAGGUCAUGUACCCAUCUACCUUGAAUCUGUAGGCCUAGUGUUGCAUUGAAAUUUCUCCUUUUUGCUAUUGCCAUGUGGAAGUAUCAAGUGUUGCGCUCUCCUUUCAAAGACCACGAGUUUCUUGAUGCUUGACAAAGCAUAAUUGAACGUAUUUUAUACAUUUGAUCCAACCGCUCCUUAAUCUCAUGAUUAACAUCCAAAGGUUGGUUUGUUUCAUCCACCCAAUCUUGCUCCCUUUUAAGGUCCAUGAUCUUGGGGACAAUAUUACCAUGUAUCUCCAAGUUUCAUGUUUUUCUGCGUUCUUUUAUGAACUCACAUAUGAAGGCUCCCUUACCAAACUAACCAGUUUGAACGUGUUAUUUUCAAAAACAACCAGUUCCGUUUCGACUUUUCAAAACUUACCAGUCUAAUUAAUUGGAACUCGGGCGACCCCUAUUACGUUUUGGCCACCACAUGGGUCGCCCCAGCCAUGGGCGACCCCUGUUACUUCUUUUUGCUUCAUAGGUCGCCCUAUACACGGGCGACCCCUGCUGAUUUUGUUUUCUUAUUUUUUAUUUUUAUUUUUUUUUGUCAUAAGAUUUUCACGUCAUUGAAUUGUAUGGAAAUACAAUACUGAAGGAAUCGGAGAGCUUUUUCAUACAUGAAAAACUUUCAUCUAACCAAUAGACAUGUCGAAAAGCGCCACAAAAUUAGAUAAAAAUUUUGAUGUCUGAAAAAAAAACACUCUAAGGAGAAGCAAAAUCCGCACAACUAAGAAGAAAGGAAAACUUUCAUUCAAAAAAGUCUACCGACUAACCAAAUGUCAUGCAGAGAUGGCCCCGAAAAUUUAGCCAAUAAAACUUUAAUGACUGAAAAGAAAACCCGGAUGAAAAACAAAAGUCCGCGGAAAGGAAGAAACUAAAUAGGGAGAGAAAAAAAGGAGGAAAGAAAGAAAGAAUCAAGCACGAAAGGCUAUGCUAGGCACCGAAACAAAAUCAUCAAAAAUAACACAAUCGUUAAAAAACGACAAACAAAAUCAAAAUACACAAUCAAAAAGCCAUCAACUAUGGCACUCCCUCGAAAGGGCACAAUAAUAAAAUCAAAGAAACAACAAGUCUUAUAAAUCUAGUUAUAAAACGAAUCAUAAAAAUCAAAAACUAUAUAUAUAACCAAUUACAAAGGACAUAUAAGACCAAUAUAUUUAAAACCACUAAAACAAAAAAUUUCGAACUCAUACCAUUGUCGUGGGGUCAAUUCACACAAUCCUUACCUUAUCGAAUAUAAAUAUAUGUAAUCAUUGCUAUGACUAAGAUUGAAUCGCAAUCGUUUUACCCGUCAUUGACUCAUCUCAAUUGAUUUAACACCAAAACAAAAUCUUGAAAAUUGAGUAGAUCUAAAAUCUUGAAACGGAUCCGGGAGGGAGUAUUAUUGAGAAAGCGAGAACAAAUCACGAGAAAUAAACUAAUUCGGAACUUUUCAUCGGUGAAAAUCGAUGAAAUCUCCGACGACGGCUGGAAAAAGAAGGGAGAGAGGAGGCUAGGGUUUUUGCAAGAAGGGAGAGAUCACAUCUUUCUUGCAAAGUCGUAGUGUAAGAAGGGUUUUCUUAUUUUAUUUAAAUGAAUAUUAACUAAUAUGGCUUUUUUUUUAUAAAUUCAAUUGUUUUGUUUAUGUUAAUUAUUAAGAUUAACUAAAAACAAAGAUUAAUUAAUAUAAAUAGAUAUUACUUAGCAUUCCGAGUUGCAAAAUUUAAUAACUGAAAAUCAAAUUAAAUUUGAUUAAAAUGAGAACAUGACAUAAGUUCGAAAGCCUUAAUGUUCUCAAUCCUGAGUGAUGUCGACAUAAUAUUCAUCAUCGUCGUUGUCAACAUCAUCAUCCACCGGGGUAUGCUUUUUUGGUUCAAGGCAAUGACAAUUAUAAUUGAUAUUGGGCACAUCUUCCCAAUUUCCCCAAAAUUCAGCUUCCGCAUCAAGUUUAGCCUGCAAUGCAUCACAUUCUUUCUUGAUUCCUUUCAUGUAUCGAUUGUAGCGAGCAUCAGAAAAUGAGAUACCCAGCCGACGAAGUCUGUCAAAAUAAAGUUGCUCAACUUCAGGAUAACGAAUCGACUCGUCAUCAACCUCUUGCUCCGUCAGCAUCCAAUCUUUGCCCUUUUUGACUCUCCUAGCAGUAAACUUGCGUAAACGAUAGUAGAAAUCAUUCCACUUGAUCUCUUGAGCGUGCUCUUGAGCCUGACGACGUUUCCCCUAUAAGAUCUCCUCUUUCAGGCUCAUUGGAGCCCCCUUAAUGGUUUACAGAAAAUCAAUAACUCAGCAAUAAAGUAAAUCUUUGAGCAAUAUCCACAGGCUGGCUGAUUGAAUUAUUGCAUGAUUUGAAUGAAGCUUGCAGAAAAUCCAGUGUUCAAUGAAUGCUUCGUUCAAACAUUAUGCUGCAUAAAUUGAUAUAGCAUGGUUUGUAAGAAAAAAGCUGAUGCGGGGAGCUGAUGUGACCAUACGUUUUAAAUUAAUUAUUUGCACACCCUUCAAAAAAUAGUUCUCAGCAUCACAUUUCAAUAAUUACUUAAAAAAAUUAUAUAUAUAUAUCAAAUUUUGAUUUCAAAAAUUAAUAUAACCCUUAAUAUAAGUUUCAAUAUUAGCUUAAAUAUUAAGUUCAUAAGAAAUAUUUAUUGAAAAAUAAAUUUCAAGUUUGGUCGCCCAUAAUAGGGGCGACCUUGGCUGGGGAGAGAUCCCACAACAAAGGUCGCCCGUGGAAGGGCGACCAGUGUCAAGGGUUGGGGUCGCCAGAUGCAGGGGCGACCCUUGCCCCUCCACCCCACAGUAGGGCUGCUCAUGGGUUGUCCAACCCGUUAAAACCAACCCAACCCAACCUUAAACUAGGCCGACUAACCCGACCCAUUCCAAACCGUGGGUUAAUUGGGUUGAUUUUUGGUUGAGCCGUUUAUAAUGGGUUGGGUCGAAAUAUAACUUUUAAGAAACCUUAAACCAACCCAACCCGGUCAAAAUACAUCUUUAACACUUUGAUAAAAUAUUUUUGGUUCCUCAAGGAACUAUAUUUACUUAUUUGAUGAUAGAAUGUGCAGUGAGUGUAGUGCAAUGUGCAGAAACAAUUAGAAAUAAAGCUUUGUAGUUCAAAUCAAACGACUCACAUUGCUAGUUCUUAUGAUUAUAUAUCAUGGCAGAAACAUUAUUUUUAAUAGUUAUUACUUUAUUAAGAUUCAGUUGUCCACCUUAGUAUGGAAAGAAUAUCUGCACUCUAAAAGCACAUGAUAUUUUGUAUCGGUGCAUGUCCUAUGUUAUUGCUAAUUGUACAAAAGAAAAUGGUGCAAAACAUAUUUUGGAUUAUGCUUAUCUUGCAAAUUUUUCAACCCGAUUAACCCUACCCUAACCAACCCAACCCGUCAUACAAUUAGUAGGGUUGGGUUUCUAAUUAUUUUUAUGGUUAAUGGGUUAAAUUUUUGUAACCCGUACUAAAUGGGUUGGGUCGCUUGAAUGGCUGAAACCGGCCCAACCCAGCCCAUGUGCAGCCCUACUGCACAGCACAGGUCGCCCGUACAAGGGGCGACCCCUUCUCCAAAUUUUCUUGAGUUUGGGUCGUCCGAGUUCCAAUUAAUUAGAAUGAUUAGUUUUGAAAAGUCGAAACGAAACUGUUUGUUUUUGAAAAGAACGCGUUCAAACUACUUAGUUUUGUAAGGGAGCCCACAUAUGAACCCACACUUUUCUUGUGAUUUUUGGAACAUGAUAACUAGGCGAAGUGUGCUCCUAAACUCUUUAAUGGUUUGAUGAAUAAUAGGAGUUUAGCCUUCAAUGAUUCGGUAAAUAGUGGGAGUUAACGGUGUCAAUCACUCAAUAAUAUUAUAAAUAAAUUAAUAUUAUAUUUAAAAAUUAUAAAUAUAUGCUAAAAUCUAAGUUAAAAAAAGGCUAAUUGAAAUUAAAUUUUAUAAAAUGGUAAUUUUUAUUUAAAAAUUUACACAUAAUAUCAUUAUUAUAUAAAUAAUAUUUAAAAUUUAGUUUAGGUUUUAGUUAUUAUAUAUAUUUCAUUAUCAUGCAUAAUAUAUUAUUAAUAUCAAAUUUUAUUAGUCGCUUAUUUAUAUUAUACUAUUUUAGCUUAAUAUUAUUUAUUUUUUUCUUAUUUAUUCAUUAUUUAAACUAAAAAUAUGUUAAUAAUAUAUUAAUAUUUAUCUCCACUUAAUAUUAUUUAUUUUUUAAAAAUAUCGUUAUUUUUAAAUUUGAAUUUUCCAUAAAUUUUAAUUUACUUUAUAAGAUUAUUUAACUUAUUUUAUUCUUCUUUAAAAAUAAAUAAUAAUUCAAUACUGAAAAGUGACACGACAUCUACACAUAUAAGCGAAACUGAGUAAUGCAUAAUUAUAUCGCUUUCUACUUAGAUUGACAAUUAAUUGAUUUUUCUAAUAGAUACGUAAAUGUUUAAAUACUUUCAGUGUUGGCAAUAAAUGUAUCAUCAUAAAAAGCCUUUUUCACUAAAUCAACAUCAUGAUAAUCCUGUAAAUAUGUAAUCAUGAACAUGAUGAACAAUAGAAAAAUAAAAACCAAACUCUCACAACAAAAGAUUAAACAAAACCCAAAUAAAAAAAAUAGGACAUGAAUUAAGAGGUAAUAAAAAAUUAAGAAAAGAUUGGGGAUUUUCAUCCACGAAAGGUGAUGGAAGCCCCUUGGAUAAUAACACAUAACAGCAAUGACUACAUCAAGACAUAAUUUAAAGAUAUUUCAGACAUAGACAAUUAUUCAAUAUUCUCUUAAACAUAACUUGUUUUAUUCUAUAAACAGAUUAUGUUUAUUUUGAUAUAAAUAAUUAACUAAAAAUUUCAUAUUACAUUUUUAGAAAGCAAACAAAGAACUCAACAUAAUUAUUUUUAAUAGUGAUAAUUGCAUAUCGCACCCCAUUAUUUUUGUUCAAGAAAUAAUUUUAUAUCAUAAUUAUAAAUUAUUCAAAUCGGAAUCCAUUAUUUCAACCCGCUAAAUCAGCUUCAUCCCUAGAGUUAUAUGUGCAUAAAUGCGUGUCGUUAACAUUCAAAAUCAAGAACCGGCUUAACAAUAAAGCAAAAUAAGCGGUCACUUAGCGCACCACACAUAUAAGAAGCUUAUAAUUAUUAAACACACACAUAAAUAUUAAUAUUUUCUUCAUGAAAAUAAAUAAAUAAAUGGAUUUAAAAAUUUUUGAGCUCUUGUAUGUAUGAGGGUCCUAAAGCCCUGCUCUCGAAUUAUAAUUAGGGAGGAAAGCAGGUGAAAAAAAAGAGUAAAGUCAUAUACCUUUCACUUCUGUUUGUGCUCCCGAAUUUUUCAAAAGGAGGAAAGCAAGUGAAAAUAAAUGCAAAUAUAACAUACUUUCACUCCAAAACUUUCACUCCUAAAAUGGGAUGAAAGUAAAAGCACAUUUGCUUUCACUUGCUUUCUCUCAUGAAAAAACUUAGGAGCAGGGCCUAAGUGACCGCUUUUUUUGUUUAAUUAUUGAGCCGAUUCUCGAUUUUUAAUGUUAACGAUACGUAUUUAUGCAUAUUUAAUAGAAGAUGUGCAAAUUGAUCUAGCGGAUUGAAGUAAAGAAAUACAAUUUAAAUUAUUCAUAAUCAUAAUAUAAAAUUGUUUUUUUAAUAAAAGGAUAUAAAAUUGUUUCUGAUAAAAAUAGUAGGGUGUGAAUCCUGUUUUGGUAAUUACCGUGUAGGGGGAAAUUAAAUGUACACAAUUGUACAGCCCACUUUUACAACCAACAAAUCGUGAUCGUUGGUUGGGUGAGAUUUUCGAUGCUGGGUGCGUACAUCAGUGACUUAAAGUCACUGAUCAGUGACUUUAUAUCACUGAUGUCCCCUCCAUAAUUCUUUUUCCUAUCAUACCCUUACCGCAUUAAUAACAACAGUGAAUUCAAGUUCCUGAUGGUGUAUACAUUAAUAACAACAGUGAGUUUAAGUCCCUGAUGUGUACAAUGUUAUUUACAUUUUUACUAAAUGAUCCAUACUUACGGAUGUUAAGGUCUAAAUAUAUCAGUGAUAUUAUAUGAAUUUCAGAAGAAAAAAAAUAACUCUAUUUGUAUUGAGAUUUUAGCAGUCAAGUAGUGGUUUGUUUGACUUGUACUAUUAUCGUGUACUUUAUCAUGUAUUGCUCUUUAUAUUUUUUAAAAAAUAUUGAUCAAUGAUCUAACCGUACGGAUGUGAAGAUGUAUAUAUUUUGAUGCUAAUUAAGAAGAAGUUUCAGGAAAAAAUAACUAUAUUUGGAUUGAGAUUUUAGCAGUCAACUACUGUUUUGAUUUGUACUAGUAUCUAGUGUUUUAUCAUGUAUUACUGCUUACAUUUUUUUAAAAAUAUUUCUGGAUGAUCCAACCGUACGGAUGUGGAGAUUUAUAUAUUUUGAUGAUAUUAAAAAUGUUUCAUAAAAAAAUAAUUUUAUUUGGUUGGAGAGUAGCAGUCAACUAGUGGUUUGACUUGUACUAAGAUCUAGUGUUUUAUCAUGUAUUACUGCUUACAUUUUUAAAAAAAUAUUUCUGGAUAAUCCAACCUUACGGAUGUGAAGAUUUAUAUAUUUUGAUGAUACUAAAAAAGUUUCAGAAAAAAAUAAUUUUAUUUGGAUGGAGAGAUUUGUCUCAACUAGUGGUUUGACUGGGAGUAGCAUCUAGUGUUUUAUCAUGUAUUACUGCUUACAUUUUUUUAAAAAUAUUUCUGGAUGAUCCAACCGUACAGAUGAGAAGAUUUAUAUAUUUUGAUGAUAUUAUAAAAGUUUCAGAAAAAAAUAAUUUUAUUUGGAUGGAGAGUUUAGCAGUCAAUUAGUGGUUUGACUUGUACAAGCAUCUAGUGUUUUAUCAUGUAUUACUGCUUACAUUUUUUUAAAAAUAUUUUUGGAUGAUCCAACCGUACGGAUGUAAAGAUUUAUAUAUUUUGAUGAUAUAAAAAAAAGUUUCAGAAAAAAAUAGUUUUAUUUGGAUGGAAAGUUUAGCAGUCAACUAGUGGUUUGACUUGUACUUGCAUCUAGUGUUUUAUCAUGUAUUACAACUUACAUUUCUUUAAAAAUAUUUCUGGAUGAUCCAACCGUACAGAUGUGAAGAUUUAUAUAUUUUGAUGAUAUUAAAAAAGUUUUAGAAAAAAUUUUUUUUAUGUGGAUGGAGAGUUUAGCGGUCAACUAGUGGUUUGACUUGUAGAAGCAUCUAGUGUUUUAUCAUGUAUUACUGGUUACAUUUUUUUAAAAAUAUUUUUGGAUGAUCCAACCGUACGGAUGUAAAGAUUUAUAUAUUUUGAUGAUAUAAAAAAAAGUUUCAGAAAAAAAUAAUUUUAUUUGAAUGAAUAGUUUAGCAGUCAACAAGUGGUUUGACUUGUACUAGCAUCGAGUGUUUUAUCAUGUAUUACUGCUUACAUUUAUUAAAAAAAAAAUAUUUCAGGAUGAUCCAACUGUACGGAUGUGAAGAUUUAUAGAUUUUGAUGAUAUAAAAAAGGUUUCAUUUAAAUUUUUUUUUUUAGGUGUAGAGUUUAGCAGUCAGCUAGUGAUUUGAGUUAUACUAGCAUCUAUUGUUUUAUCAUGUAUUACUGCUUACAUUUUUUUAAAAAUAUUUCUGGAUGAUUCAACCGUACAGAUGUGGAGAUUUAUAUAUUUUGAUGAUAUAAAAAACAAUUCAUAAAACAAUAAUUUUAUUUGGAUGGAGAGUUUAGCAGUCAACUAGUGGUUUGAAUUGUACUAGCAUCUAGUUUUUUAUCAUGUAUUCCAGCUUAUAUUUUUAAAAAAAUAUUUCUGGAUGAUUAAACCGUACGGACGUGAAGAUUUAUAUAUUUUGAUGAUAUUAAAAAAGUUUCAGAAAAAAAUAAUUUUAUUUGGAUGGAGAGUUUUGUAGUCAACUAGUGGUUUGACUUGUAGAAGCAUCUAUUGUUUUAUCAUGUAUUACUGCUUACAUUUUUUUAAAAAUAUUUUUGGAUGAUAAAACCGUACGUAUGUGAAGAUUUAUAUAUUUUGAUGAUAUUAAAGAAGUUUCAGAAAAAAAUAAUUUUAUUUGGAUGGAGAGUUUAGCAGUCAACUAGUGGUUUGACUUGUACUAACAUCUAGUGUUUUAUCAUGUAUUACAGCUUAUAUUUUUUAAAAAAUAUUUCUGGAUAAUCCAACCCUACGGAUGUGAAGAUUUAUAUAUUUUGAUGAUAUUAAAAAAGUUUUAGAAAAAAAAAAUUUAUUUGGAUGGAGAGUUUAGCGGUCAACUAGUGGUUUGACUUGUAGAAGCAUCUAGUGUUUUAUCAUGUAUCACUGCUUACAUUUUUUUAAAAAUAUUUUUGGAAGAUCAAACCGUACGGUUGCGAAGAUUUAUAUAUUUUGAUGAUAUUAAAAAAGUUUCAGAAAAAAAUAAUUUUAUUUGGAUGGAGAGUUUAGCAGUCAACUAGUGGUUUGACUUGUACUAGCAUCCAGUGUUUUAUCAUGUAUUACAGCGUAUAUUUUUUUAAAAAUAUUUCUGGAUGAUCCAACCGUACGGAUGUGAAGAUUUAUAUAUUUUGAUGAUAUUAUAAAAGUUUCAAAAAAAAUAAUUUUAUUUUAAUGGAGAGUUUAUCAGUCUACUAGUGGUUUAAUUUGUACUAGCAUCCAGUGUUUUAUCAUGUAUUAUUGCUUACAUUUUUUAAAAAAUAUAUCUGGAUGAUCCAACCGUACGGAUGUGAAGAUUUAUAUAUUUUGAUGAUAUUAAAAGAGUUUUAGAAAAAAAUAAUUUUAUUUGGAUGUAGAGUUUAGCAGUCAAUUAUUGGUUUGACUUGUACUAGCAUUUAGCGUUUUAUCAUGUAUUACUACUUACAUUUUUUUAAAAUUAUUUCUGGAUGAUCCAACCGUACGGAUGUGGAGAUUUAUAUAUUUUAAUGAUAUAAAAAAAAUUCAUAAAAAAAUAAUUUUAUUUGGAUGGAGAAUUUAGCAAUUAACUAGUGGUUUGACUUGUACUUGCAUCUAGUGUUUUAUCAUGUAUUACAGCUUAGAUUUUUUAAAAACUAUUUUUGGAUGAUCCAACCGUACGAAUGUGAAGAUUUAUAUAUUUUGAUGAUAUUAAAAAAGGUUCAGGAAAAAAUAAUUUUAUUUGGAUGGAGAGUUUAGCUGUCAACUGUCAACUAGUGGUUUGACUUGUGGAAGCAUCUAGUGUUUUAUCAUGUAUUACUGCUUACAUUUUUUAAAAAUAUUUUUGGAUGAUCCAACCGUACGGAUGUCAAGAUUUAUAUAUUUUGAUGAUAUUAAAAAAAUUUCAAAAAAAAUUAAUUUUAUUUGGAUGUAGAGUUUAGCAGUCAACUAGUGGUUUGACUUGUACUAGUAAAUUGACAUUUAUCAUGUAUUUGUGUUUCUAUUUUUUUGAAAAUAUUUCUCGACGAUCCAACCGUACGGAUGUCAAAGUCUAUAUAUUUUGAUGAUAUUAAAAAAGUUUCAGAAAAAAAUAACUAUUUUCCGUUUGAAAUCUUAACAGUCAACUAGUGGUUUGACUUGUAUAUGUAAGUAGUAUUUUAUCAUGUAUUGUCGUUUCAAUUUUUUUGAAAAUAUAUCUCGAUGAUCCAACCGUACGGAUGUCAAAGUUUAUAUAUUUUGAUGGUAUUAAAAAAGUUUUAGAAAAAAAUAAUUUUUUUUGGAUGUCAAAGUUUAUAUAUUUUGAUGGUAUAAAAAAUAUUUUAGAAAAAAAUAAUUUUUUUCCGUUUGAUAUUCUAACAGUCAACUAGUGGUUUGACUUGUAUUUUGAUUAUUUGUAAGUAAAAUUAUUUUUCAAAAAUAUGUCUGGAUGAUUAUAAAAAUUAUAAAUUAUAUUAUUAGUUAUAAGUGAUGAGUUUUUAUGUUAAGCAAUAUAAUCAUCUAAAUUGAAAAGAUAAUAUGUGUUGUGUUGAACUUGUGCAAAAUUCCAUCCUUUUCAUUUUAUUAUUGUUCUUAAAAAAUCACGAACUUAGUUUUUUUCGUUAAUUAUAGAUAUAACGAAGCUCCUAUACCUUAUGUUAAUCAAAUGCUAAACAAAAAUCAACAUUUUUUGGAGUUUUACUUAAAAUCAUGUCAGUGACUUGAAGUCACUAGUAUUGACUUGGAAUUUUUUUUUCCCGUGUCGCUUAUUUGUUACUUAGGAUUCUUUUCAAACCUCUAAAUCAAUCUCCAAAAUUACAACAGUGACUUGAAGUUACUGAUUUUCUUUACUUAGAAUUUUUUCCAAGAUUACGCAUUAGUGACUUCAGCUCACUAAUGUUCUUUACUUAAAUUUUCCAGCCCUCUAGUUUUGGGGAGCUAUUUUAACGAUUUCAUCAGUGACUCAAGGUUACGAAUAUCCCCAGAAUUACAUUAGUGACUUCAAGUCACUGAUUACGAAUAUCCCCAGAAUUACAUUAGUGACUUCAAGUCACUGAUGUUUUUGACUUAGAAUUUUUUCCAGCCCUCUAGUUUUGGGGAGCUACUGUAACGUUUUCAUCAGUGACUUAAGGUCACGGAUAUCCCCAGAACUAUAACAGUGACUUGAAAUCACUGAUGUUCUUUACUUAAAAAAUUUUCCACCGCUAUAGUCUUGGGAGCUAAUAUAACGAUUUCAUUUCAUCAGUGACCUUAUUUAUGAUUUUUUUUACUAGGUAGUUGGGGUGUUGGUACAUUGUUGGUUGAUGUAAAUUAAAUGCAACAUCACUGAUCUCAUGUCACUGAAGGUGAGAGGGAUAAUACCGACAUUUUAGAUUUUUCGCUCAAAAUCAGUGACUUCCGGUCACUGAUUAGUGACUUGAAGUCACUAACGUAGCUAUUUAAUAUUUUUUUCAUGCGUCCGAAAGAUCAUGUCACUGAUGUACUUUAUUUAAUGCACACCAUUAGUAACUUCAAGUCACUGAUGGUGUACACCUACAUUUCCUGCAGGAUUGUGUACAUGUAACCGGCCCCCUACGGUGUAACUAUGCACGCACUUCCAAAAUCCUAUCUACUCAUUUGUUUAUACUUUAUUAUAAGUUGAUGCAUCAAAACAAAAUUUGGUCAAAUUAUUGAAACGACAAUUGGGCUUCACUUGAUCGCGAAAAGAUAGGAUGUUCUUCCGCAGUUGUUUUUUUUCGCAGGAACAGUUAUACUCAUGUCUACCUAGAUCGCUCAGUGGUAUGUCCAAUUAUUAUCUCUGCUUUGUCUGUAUCUAUAUAUUUUCUUAAUUCAUCAUUGUAAUAACAUGUUUGUAUCCAUCUAUUUUGAUUCCACGCCAAAUCCACGUCUUAUACUUGCCAAUUUUCGUACCUGUCUUUAUUUGCUCCAGUAGAUUUAAUUUUAUAAUAUAUGCAUGUAUAGUGUUUGUGUAUAUGUAUGUGAAGGCAUAUUCUUUGUGUGUGUGGUUGUAUGGUUUGUUUUUGUUGGAUGUCCCAGAGUUGAUUUAAUUGUACUACUUGUUCGGUCCCAUCCAUUUGUUUGAGCACGGAGGUUAAGAAAAGUUGCGAGGAAGUACAAGAAAACUGGGUCUGUAAAGAUGAUCAGGCAUGCAGAGAUAACCAACAUAGUUUUAUGCCGUUUACUUUUGAUACAUUUGGGUUCCUAGCUUCUGACACUGUUGAGUUUCUUAGGAGAGUUGUGAACAGGAACGUGAUGGCUGCAGGUUCGGCUGAAUAUGUUUUUCGAAGAAUUAGAUUUUCUAUUCAACGAGGACUUGCAGCGCAAGUUGUUACCCGUAUACCUUGUACACUUGUAUUGUUGUAUACAUAUUUUACUGCUUAUGAUAAAACAUAUAAUAAAUGGGGGGGCAAAAACCCUUUUCUUAUGUUCUACUAUAAUCUAUAAUAUUUGUCAUAAACUAAUGUAUAAUUCAACUUUAUAGUGAAUUCCAUUUUUAUCUAUUCCUAAAUAAUAACAUUAAAAAAACAUCAAGCAGGAAUAGAUAGUAUCUGUAUAUGCGAUUUUUUUUAUUGUGGCAGUGGACCAUAGUAGAAGUUUGCACUGGGUAACCAGUGACCGGUGUAGGGGAAAAGUUGCAAAGCAACAAAACAAGUGUAUCUUCUAGUUUAGAAUUGUACUUGUGGUUGCUAACUGAAGAACCUGGUCUAAAUAAAGUGAGAUGUCAGUAGAAUCCUAGAAGGGAAUGUGAAGAACCGUACUGAAUGUCUAAUUUUAGUCUUUAGACCUUGGGUCACAGUUUCCAUUUUGACAGGUAAAGGCUUGCUAGAAAUUUUAGGAAGUUUUCAAUCACUUGACGUGCACAAUGAUUAUUUCCGUGUUUACUGGAAGUAAAGAUGGAUCCUUCUGAGAAGUGAUGAGUCAAAACUGAAGUUCCUUUACUGGAUGAGAUGAAGGAUUCUUGAAGAACAAGUAAGAGUGAUAAUGAAGCCCUUGAUGCUGAUGAUUACAUUGAAGCAGAGCUAUAAAAAAUAAACAAUAUGACCCUAAAGGAAGCUGAUGCAGCUGAAGAUGAAGCAAAUGAAAAUUCUCAUGUGGCAGUGCGCAAGGCACAAGGAAAAGCAGCAAGUCACAGUCGAGCCAUAGAAGAAGCCCACAACAAGUAUCCCAAGACUGGUAAAUUAUCAUUUUGUUAUAGGAUUUAAUAAAUUUUUACCAUAUUUCCUAUAUUUUAUGAAAAUGGCUGAAACAUUACAUGGACUGUAGUUUAUUAUAUUCUUGGAACAAAUAAUGGAAUAAAACUUGUUAAGAUAGGAAGUUCUUUGUGGAUGUUAUAUAAUGUGUAUAUAGGUUUACCUGUAGAAUUCAAACUGAAAAAGAAUGUUAUUACCUGUAAGUCACUCCCUCUGUCCCGGUGAAAAGUAUACACUUGGAAGUUGGAACAGAGGGCUAGGCACGCAUUUUAAGGCUCUUGUAAAAAACAAUCCAAUAAAUUAUAUUAAUUGUUUUUCUUCAGAAUAAAACUUUAAUGUCUAAACUUUUAUUCAGAAACAAAAAAUUUAAAAAUGAGUUAUAAAAUUAUAUUUUAUAAAAACCUUAAAAUGUGUGCCAAAUAGUGGGAAAAAAAAACUGUAUAAAAAUGAGUGGGACGGAGGGAGUAAUAGUUCCAUAUUAAAGGUAAACAUUUUUUUUUGAAUAUAUAUGUAUACAACAUACUAUCAAGUGAAAUUAUUAGUGUUUUCACAAAUUGAUCUAGAAAAUAACUUUUUGGAUGAUAUUUAGAGACGAAUAUAAGAUAAUUACUGGGUACAGAUGUGCAGAUACAAAUUUUGCUAGGAUGAACCGUUUGAUGAAAGGCAACUUUACCUAGCCUCACAUGGCCUUUUUCUUGGUAAUGGUUAGUAGGUUGUUUAGAAGGAUAGUUGCUAGCAGGCUUGUCUCUUCGCUAACCUUCUAAACAACCCUUUAGCAAAGAUGGAAAUUGAAAUACUGGCAUAUGAAUAAUGGGUAUAUAUAUCUGUGAUUCUCCUUUGUUUCUGUGUUAAAAGUUGCUUCCUGCGCUUGCUCUUACUCUCUGCACUGCAACCCUUGAUGCUGAUGAUUACAUUGAAGCAGAGCCAUAAAAAAUAAACAAUAUGACCCUAAAGGAAGCUGAUGCAGCUGAAGAUGAAGCAGAUGAAAAUUCUCAUGUGGCAGUGCGCAAGGCACAAGGAAAAGCAGCAAGUCACAGUCAAGCCAUAGAAGAUGCCCACAAGAAGUAUCCCAAGACUGGUAAAUCUUCAUUUUCUUAUAGGAUUUAAUAUUUUUUUUACCAUAUUUCCUAUACUUUCUGAAAAUGGCUGAAAGCAAAUAUGACAUGGAAUGCAUUCUAUUAUAUUCUUGGAACCAAUAAUGGAAUAAAACUUGUUAAGAUAGGGAGUUCUCAGUGGAUGUUAUAUAAUGUGUAUAUAGGUUUUCUUUCAGAAUUCAAACUGAAAAAGAAUGUUAUUACCUGUAAGUUACUCCCUCUGUCCCGGUAAAAAGUAUACACUUGGAAGUUGGAACAGAUGGCUAGGCACGCAUUUUAAGGCUCUUGUAAAAUACAAUCCGAUAAAUUAUUAUUAUUUUUCCUUCAGAAUAAAACUUUAAUAUCUAAACUUUUAUCCAAAAACAAAAAAUUUUAAAAAUGAGUUAUAAAACUAUAUUUUAUAAAAACUUUAAAAUGCGUGCCAAAUAGUGCCAAAAAAAUCUGUAUAGAAAUGAGUGGGACGGAGGGAGUAAUAUUUUCAUAUUAAAGGUAAACAUUUUUUUUAAAUAUAUAUGUAUACAACAUACUAUCAAGUGAAAUUAUCAGUGUUUUCACAACUUGAUUUAGAAAAUAGCUUUUUGGAUGAUAUUUAGAGCAUCAGUACUGAAGAACAUAAGAUAAUACUGGGUACAGAUGUGCAGAUGCAAAUUUUGCUAGGAUGAACCGUUUGAUGAAAGGCAACUUUACCUAGCUGCACAUGGCCAUUUUCUGGGUUAUGGUUAGUAGGUUGUUUAGAAGGAUAGUUGCUAGCAGGCUUGUCUCUUUGCUAACCUUCUAAACAACCCUUUAGCAAAGAUAGAAAUUGAAUUACUGGCAUAUGAAUAAUGUGUAUAUAUAUAUAUGUGAUUCUCCUUUGUUUCUGUGUUAAAAGUUGCUUCCUGCGCUUGCUCUUAUUCUCUGCACUGCAACCUCUCAUUUUACAUGAAAAAUUGAAGCGGAAACAAAGAUAUGUAGUCACCAAACUCCAGAGGAAGCUGCUAAGGACGCAUUUUAAGGCUUAUUGGAGCUAUAUCCAAGACUUUUAAAAAUUGUCCCAUGACCGGUAAAACGUUAUUUAUUUGUUGUGCUUGAGCUUGUUUCUCAUGUUUUCUAUUGCCUCUGCAAAUAUUUGACAACUGAUGUGAUGUGGACUGCAGUUUAUUAAUGUGGAUAUAUUUUAAAUAACUCUAACCCUUAGCGCAAAGGCAUAUAGAUCGUACUACUUUGGUCUUAAUAUAGACAGAAGUGCAAAUAGUCUGCUAGGAUAAAAUAUUAUAAAUUCGCCAACUUUAGUGCAGAAUUAAAAGUAAAUGAUCUCCGUGUGUUGUGCUGUUGUAAGUUCUCGUUCAACUUGUCCUUAUUAUCACUACAACAACCUCCUAGUUGCAUAACAGAUUACAUACUUUAUAAGAUAUUGGUUUGGGCGAAUCAUUAGCCGAAAUGAAGUAAUAUAAAAGAGCAUAUGCCGGAGGGUAAUUAAAGUUUGGAUACUUAUAAGACGUAUUUUAAGCUAGGAAGCACGGACUCGGAUACGACGACAUAAGACACGGGGGUUCGCCAACUAUCAAAGACACCCGGAUACGGGACUCGGCACAAAAAAUUAAUAAUAGUAAUAAAAUAGGAUUCAUAUAUGUCAAACUUCAUUCAUAAUAUAAUAUAAUGUCUUUACGAUAAGUGGUAAUCUAAUAUAAGAUUCAUUUGAUG